ACUGCCAGACGAAGGGAGGAGACUGGCGAGCGAAGAUAGUGGUGGUGGAAGAAAAGAGAAAAGAUAAGAAAAAAGAAAGGAUUAAAGAAACAAAAAAAUCAAAAAGAAAGAAAAGUAUCAAAUAAAAGAAACUAGAGAACUAAAAAAAGAUGGAGAGAGAUAAUGGAAAAGAAGACCUUAUGUACUCCUGGGUGGAACAAGGUGGAAGAUGAGAAUAAUCUGCCCGUUGCAUCAUUUAUCAGAUAUAUUAACCGCUAACUCUGCCCAACCCAUUUCUCCAAGAGCAUCAACAUCUAAUCCAGGAGUCACAAAAGAACCCAGAUGGACAUCAAAAGAUCUGCAGAACUCACUGGCCUCAGUUAAGGUCAGUGAACAUGAUUCCACAAUAAGGAAGACACUGGGAGAAAAUGUCAUCUAUGGGAGAGUUGCAAGACAACAUGAAACAUGGCCAAUACCUGCCGACAUUUAAGAAUCAUUGCAACAUUUUCUUGUCAGAAUUUCUGAAGACUUCUCUCCAUUUUUCUCCUGUGGAAGGCAGAAUCUAGGUGCGCCUUUAUUUUGAAAAUCCCAUGGCAUAUCCAUGACACUCAGCUUGGAACGAAGCUUGGACUGUGGCCAGAUCAUGGCAAGCAGCCAGAAAAUGGACAGUGAAGAUAUUUACUCAACUCUCUGCAAUAGAUGUGCCAUGUGCGCACAACCAGAAGAAGACAGAGGGAUGGAAGGCUAUUCAAGGAGAUUGUGCUGCAUUUGCUCUUACAAGUAUAGAUGAAUUAGUGACCUUGAUAGUUGUUGGUAAGCUGGUUCUAAUAGACACAAAUUAUUAUUUCAUAAUAAAUGGCCAUCAACAAAAAUCUCUUUAACUGCUAAAAAACAAAACAAAACAAAUGAUGUACUUUAAAAGGAGGUAUGUGGCACCUUAUAGGGCACAGUUUUAUUUCAUUUAUUGUAAAAAGACUAGAUUGUUUUUAAUUUUCUGUUCAUGACAUCAUUUUUUCUGUUUUUCACAGCUCGGGAAUAAAUUUAAUGAAACUAAACUUUAGUUUCUUUUUGUAAGUUGAUAACACAAGUGUAAUUUAUUGUGUGAACAGGAAAACAUCAUCUCAUAUCGAUCACAGGCCCCCGAAUCAAACUGAAUCAAAGCAAACGGUACCAUGUCAGAUUUGGUGAUGUAGUAUCGUUGUUCAAAGAGUUGACGUAGCACCGUAUUGGCAUGUAACCUGUGAUUUACACCCCUAUUAUUUUCACAAUAAAGGCUAGAAAAAUGUGA